rnacentral:rRNA from 1 species
AUGCUCCUCUACUUCCGCUUCCGUUGUAAUUCCCGCAUUAAUUACUCCAAAUCGCACGCCUCCUCCUUCUAUCUUUUCGCCUUCCAUCUUCGUCCGCCUCUUCUCCUCCCCGUCAAGCUCAUGGCCAUGGAAGAUAUCCACUUGUGGGAACUGGGAAGACAGAUAGCUUGCUUGCGGAGGACGGCGUCCAGCAGGGCGACGGAGUCCACCCGCACGGCGGCGUUCCCACAGAAGGCAGCGUCCAGCAGGGCAAUGGUGGCGUUCCCGCGGAAGGCGGCGUCCAUCAAGGCAACGGAGUCGUGCGAGCGUGCUCGCGGAGGGCGGCGUUCACCAAGGCGACGGCGAGGUCGCAGACGGACGUCACGGCAUGCCGUUCGGAGGAUUGCCGCCUCGCGCAGCCCAACGAUGGUGACUAUGUGGUGCAUGCUAGCGGCCAACAUGCAAGCACUGACGAUGGCCUUGGCAUGGCGCAGGUCGACGUCCAGCACUCGCACGCCUUGUGGAGUCGCGGGCUUCUACGGACUCCUUAAGGUUCCCGCGGAUGACGACCAGGGCGUUGUCACAGCUGUCCUGGAGGACGGUCGCCAAAAGCAGGUCGAGAAUGGCGACGACGUGUCGCACGCGGGCAGCCAACAUGCAGGCGCUGAUGAUGGACACUGCAUCGCGCAAGGCGACGACCACCACGCAGACAUCCACACACUUGAGACACAGUAG